rnacentral:rRNA from 1 species
GAAUNUUGGGCAAUGGGNGAAANCCUGACCCAGCGACGCCGCGUGGAGGAUGAAGGCCUUCCGGUUGUAAACUCCUGGNAGGUGGGAAGAAAAGNNNCNNGGNUAAUACCCNGGAGGAUUUGGNGGNCCCCCCAAAGGAAGCCCCGGCUAACUCCGUGCCAGCAGCCGCGGUAAUACGGAGGGGGCAAGCGUUAUUCGGAUUUACUGGGCGUAAAGCGCGCGUAGGUGGCAUGGUAAGUCAAAGGUGAAAUCCCUCGGCUCAACCGAGGAACUGCCUUUGAAACUGCCUGGCUUGAGUCCGGGAGGGGGGAGCGGAAUUCCCAGUGUAGCGGUGAAAUGCGUAGAUAUUGGGAGGAACACCGGUGGCGAAGGCGGCUCCCUGGACCGGUACUGACGCUGAGGCGCGAAAGCGUGGGUAGCAAACAGGAUUAGAUACCCUGGUAGUCCACGCYGUAAACGAUGGGCACUMGGUGCAGCGGGURUCGACCCCUGCUGUGCCGUAGCUAACGCAUUAAGUGCCCCGCC